ensembl:rRNA 5S_rRNA 5S ribosomal RNA
GCUUACGACCACACCGGUCUGAGUACUCCUGAUCUCGGAAGCUAAGCAGGGUCGGGCCUGGUUAGUACUUGGAUGGGAGACCACCUGGGAAUACCAGGUCCUGUAAGCU